rnacentral:rRNA from 1 species
UACGAAGGGGGGCUAGCGUUGCUCGGAAUGACUGAGCGUAAAGGGCGCGUAGGCGGUUUGUACAGUCAGGUGUGAAAUUCCCGGGCUCAACCCGGGAACUGCGUCCGAUACUGGAAGGCUUGAAUCCGGGAGAGGGAUGCGGAAUUCCAGGUGUAGCGGUGAAAUGCGUAGAUAUCUGGAGGAACACCGGUGGCGAAGGCGGCAUCCUGGACCGGUAUUGACGCUGAGGCGCGAAAGCCAGGGGAGCAAACGGG